rnacentral:lncRNA from 1 species
AGAAAAUGCCCAAAUCAAGCAGAUUCUACCUUUUUUCCAUGUAAAUUAAGAGACUAGUAUAGUAACUUAGUUUUACAUCUCAGUAUCCAUAAAAGUAUAACAAGUUCAGAUGGGGAAGAAAAUUCAAAUAGGAAAGUUUAAUAAUCUAAUUAUCUACAAGGAAUCUAUAGCUAUUUCAUAAUAGUGAUACAGGUUGCAAACAUAAUUAUUAGAAGCAUUCAAUCUAAGUUUGAUGUACAAAAAAGAUUUUCAUAUCAAAGUUUCAAGCCUAGUUCCUAAAAAGUUUUAAAUUUUAAUUUACUAUUUGUGUAUAUGUAAAUGUGCAUGAGUUUCUGCAGGAGUCCAUUCUCCUUCUAUAUGAAUCCCAUGUAUCUAACUCAGGUGGUUAGACUUGGCAGUAAGCACCGUUACCUUCUAAGUUAUCUUACCUAUCCCUUACUAAUGUUUUUGAGAUAGGGACUUGAUAUGUAGUUCAGGCUAGCCUCACUCUUUUUUUUUUCUUUUAAGAUUUAUAUAUUUUAGAAAUGUGAGUACAUAUUCAGUGUCUUCAGACACACCAGAAGAGGGUAUUGGAUUCCAUUACAAAUGGUUUUGAGUCACCAUGUGGUUGUGGUUGCUAGGAAUUGAACUCCAGGACCUCUGGAAGAACAGUCAGUGCUCUUAACUGCUGAGCCAUCUCUCCAGCCCCCAAUCUUUUCUAGAUACCAAGAUCUCAUAAAGUUUGUGAAAUCUUAUGCUGAUUUUACUUGUACACUGUGAAUUCAAUCCCCAGAACCUGUGUAGAGAUGGAAAGAGAGAACUGACCCCACAGUGUUGUCCUCUGACCUCCACACAUGCACAGUGACAUUCAUGUGCACACGUGUGCACGCGCACGCACACACACACACACACACACACAUACUGACAUCAUACAUAUGUAUUAUAAUAAGAAAGUUUGGUUAUGUAACCCAAAAGGUU